UCAGGGCCAAUGAGAUUGGAGGGACUGUCCAGGGGGCUGCUGGGUAAAGCUGCCUUGCUCUUAAAAAGAGAAACAAAGACGCGAAAGGACCACUUUUUCCUCCAACAGGAAAGCACCAGUUUCUGGAUGGUUUCCCAUGUUGCCCAUGCUGGUCUCAAACUCCUGGACUCAAGUGAGCCUCUUGCCUCAGCCUCCCAAAGUACUGUGAUGACAGGCAUGAGCCACCGCGCCCAGCCUACAAGUUUGUAACAGAAUCAGGUGUAGUUGGAAACCAUCACAGCUUCAUGAUAGUUGAAGGGAAGUUUUCUGCCUUCACAGAAGAAAACAUCACUGCUGUCAUGGGGAAAAAAUAUUAGCAGCCUCAUGGGAGCUGGAGUAAGGCUGGAGUUGGGACACUGGCCAGCCUUGCAGAGCCACAGCUUGAAAUCAACCACCUCCCUCAUUUCUUGGAAUGAAGUCGAGGAAAGCUUACUCUUCCACUGGAAACCCCGAGAAGUAAAGUGAAAAACCCAGCCACGGGUCUUCCCACUGUGAGCUACUGAACCGUAAGGUCACGCAGAGCGACUUGAAAGUGCUUCAGGGGCCAUAAAUGCUCAACUCAAAUCUCGUGUAAAACUGUUCCCAUUUCAUGCCUGUUAGGAUAGCCUGUAUCAAAAACCAAAGCCCUUGAAAACGACAAUUGUUGGUGACUGUGUGGAGAAACCGAAACGCUUUUGCGCUAUUGGGACUGUAAAAUGGCACACUGGCUGAGGGAACAGUAGGGCGGUUCUUCCAAAAAUGUAGCACAGAACGACUCCGUGGCGCAGCCAUUGCACUGCUGGACACAGGCCCAAAAGACUGAACACGGAGACUCAAGCAGCUCUUUGUACCACAGGGUUCAUAUAGCAGCAUUCUUCACAGUGGCCAAAGGGUGAAACGGCCACUCGAUGGAUGAAUGGAGAAAUGAAAUGUGAGAUGGGGUCUCACCGUGCUGCCCAGGCUGGUCUUGAAUUGCUGACCUCGGGUGAUCUGCCUGCCUCAGCCUCCCAAAGUGCUAGGAUUCCAGGGCUGUGAAUAAGAAUACAAGUGACCGUCAGAUAUUGCCCGCGGUUCUGCUUUAAAACAGAAACUUCCCUCUCGUUCUCUUCUCCAGCAUCUGGAGCAGGUUAAACAAAGAGCAUCUUGACACAACCAUCUGGAACGUCCUCUCGAUUUCUGUAUUCAUCAAAAUGUACAAGUAUUAUAAAUUUGAACUUGUAAAAUUAAACUUUACCAAUAAAGUAC